UACGUAGGGUGCGAGCGUUGUCCGGAAUUAUUGGGCGUAAAGAGCUCGUAGGCGGCUUGUUGCGUCGUCCGUGAAAACCCGCAGCUCAACUGCGGGCUUGCGGACGAUACGGGCAGGCUGGAGUUCGGUAGGGGAGACUGGAAUUCCUGGUGUAGCGGUGAAAUGCGCAGAUAUCAGGAGGAACACCGGUGGCGAAGGCGGGUCUCUGGGCCGAUACUGACGCUGAGGAGCGAAAGCGUGGGGAGCGAACAGG
rnacentral:rRNA from 1 species